rnacentral:snRNA from 1 species
GUGCUCCGGGCGUCGGCC